GAGGCGAUCAUUUCUCCCUAAUGGUUUUAUAUCUCCAUCAGAGAUUCCACAUGAACUUGCCCAAAACAAGUUGUUCAUGCAAGGUGUUGAUAAGAAGAAUCACCCUAUAGUUGUUCUUUUUGGUGCCAAACAUAAGCACUACAAAGGAAAUCUGGAGGAGUUCAAGCGUUGUAUAGUCUUCACCCUUGAGAGAAUAUGUGAAAGAAUG
rnacentral:misc_RNA from 1 species